rnacentral:rRNA from 1 species
UACGUAGGGGGCAAGCGUUGUCCGGAUUUAUUGGGCGUAAAGAGCGUGUAGGCGGCCAGAUAGGUCCGUUGUGAAAACUCGAGGCUCAACCUCGAGACGUCGGUUGAAACCGUAAGGCUAGAGUCCGGAAGAGGAGAGUGGAAUUCCCGGUGUAGCGGUGAAAUGCGCAGAUAUCGGGAAGAACACCCGUGGCGAAGGCGGCUCUCUGGGACGGUACUGACGCUGAGACGCGAAAGCGUGGGGAGCGAACAGG